CAGGGAGACAACAAAAUGUUUAAUAUUAUUAUUUUGUCACCUUAGGUCGAUCGGUAUCUCACAUUCUUAAUUUAUUAAGGAUUUCAUUUCCUAAGUUUUUCUAGGUCACACCCAUUUUUUCCUGGGCCAUUAGCUCAGGUGGUUAGAGCGCACCCCUGAUAAGGGUGAGGUCCCUGGUUCAAGUCCAGGAUGGCCCAUAUCUCUAUGUUGGGGGUAUAGCUCAGUUGGUAGAGCGCCUGCUUUGCAAGCAGGAUGUCAGCGGUUCGAGUCCGCUUACCUCCACUGAUUACCACCUCUUCCAUAAUCAGUAAGAAGGAAAAAUUCUGAGUUGUGGCCAAAUUCUGAACGAAUCUAGCUUCCUAAUGAAAUCAUUAAGAUGCUGGACUCAUUGAAUUAAUUUCAUUGUUUUCAGAGAACCUUGACAACUGCAUAGAUUAUUUUUUAAAGACAAUAAGCAUCUUUAAUGAUGCAGAUUUAUUAUUUGUGCGAAUGCAUUAAUAACAAUUCUAUUAAGCUGAUGCUUCAAUUUUUGAAGUUAUU
rnacentral:tRNA from 1 species